rnacentral:rRNA from 1 species
UACGAAGGGGGCUAGCGUUGCUCGGAAUCACUGGGCGUAAAGCGCACGUAGGCGGACUCUUAAGUCGGUGGUGAAAUCCUGGAGCUCAACUCCAGAACUGCCUUCGAUACUGGGAGUCUCGAGUUCGGGAGAGGUGAGUGGAACUGCGAAGUGUAGAGGUGAAAUUCGUAGAUAUUCGCAAGAACACCAGUGGCGAAGGCGGCUCACUGGCCCCGAGUACU